AUGGCGGAGGAACCGUCCGCCAAGCGUCAUCAUGCCGAGACGUCGGACAAGAGGAGCAACCUCGUCGACAUUAAAGUCCCCGGCGAGAAGCGCAACUACACCAGAAUGCUCAAAGGGGUUGAGCUCCACGGCAAGGAGACGAUGGAGAUCGUCUGCACCAGCGAACUAGACAAGGCCGACGAGGUGAUCUCCAGGCUGUGGAUGAAGCUUGGCGGCAGGUUUCGUAGGAUCGUCGGUGUUGGUGUGCACUACACCAACGAAGAUGAACCUCCCCAGAUGGCGGCAGUCCUGCAGUUGUGCGUCGACGAACUCUGCUUGGUGUACCACAUCGCCGCGGCCACAAAAUGGUGA
rnacentral:rRNA from 1 species